rnacentral:rRNA from 1 species
ACGUUGAUAGGUUGGGUGUGUAAGUGCUGUGAGGCAUUGAGCUAACCAAUACUAAUUGCUCGUGAGGCUUGACCAUA